UGGAGUUUGAAGAAUGUGAAGUUUGGUAUUUAAGGGAAGAAAAAUAUAGGUGCAUAGUAUUGGAUAUUAAUGAGUGCAAAAAAGUGAAAGCGUGGGGAAUUCGUGGAUAAUUUGCUACUAUAUGGUUUUACUAAAGUUUAUAAUAUUUUUGCACACGUAUUAUAUACUAUAUAAAACUAGCUAGCUUUAGCUGUUGUCUACUAUUAUAUGUCUAAAUCCAUUUACAUGCUGUAACCAGUUACAAUUCUCUUAUACAUUAAUUUUAAAUAAAGGCGAAGUCAAGUGGGAG
rnacentral:lncRNA from 1 species